GGCGCAUGCGCCGUGCGGGCCCGCGGCUGGCGCAUGCGCCGUGCGGGCCCGCGGCUGGCGCGUUUUCUCUUCGAUAAUUUCCCAUUUAACCCGAAAAUCACGCGUUUUCUCUUCAAAAAUCUCUCAUUUAAGCGAAUAUUAUGCGUUUUCUCUACAAAAAUCCCGCAUUUAACCCGAAAAUCACGCAUUUUCUCCGCGCAAAUCCCUCCUCUUAGUAAAAUCACGCGUUUUCUCUUCGAGAAUCCCCCAUUUAACCCAAAAAUCACGCAUUUCUCUUUGGAAAUCCCCCAUUUAACCCGAAAAUCACGCGUUUUCUCUUCGGAAAUCCCCCAUUUAAGCGAAAAUCACGCACUUCCUCUUCGCAAAUCCCACAUUUAAGUGAAAAUCAGGUGGUUUUUUCUUCGAGAAUCCCCAAUUUAAUCCGAAAACCACACGUUUUCUCUUCGAGAAUCCCUGUCACGGAGUUACCUAGAUAGAUCUGUGCCCGUGACAGGGGGCCGGUAGGCUUGUGGGCCCCCCUCCCCCUUCACUUCCCGAGAAAAACGAAGCGGUGGCAACAAUCUAAGAAGGAGAACUUAUUUUACUAACUAAUGAUGUUGAGAUGCAAGAUGACACGAUACCAAUACAAAUCUAAUUGGGAGUAGGUAUAAUAAACCAAAUGGAAUGAGGGAGAGAGAGCGAAAGAGCGAUAGAGAGGGAGAGAGAGAGAGAGUGAGAGAGUUUCCGAAACCGAAAGCCUUACUUUGAUGAAGGCGCCGGCUUGGAAAAGCACACC
rnacentral:lncRNA from 7 species